rnacentral:misc_RNA from 1 species
AUGUUCUCCAUAAUUCCCUGUUCAUCCAAUACUUUGUUGCAGAACCUGGAUGCAGAUGAGACAACCUUGGGUAGCUCAUCUUUACAUUGCAGCCAAUCGCAUUGUAAUGAAGUUUAGGGAUACUUUUCCAAUAUAGCAUUUGCAAUCUCUGUGAAAACCACGGUACUUUUCUGCCAUUACAGCACCCUGUUGUGCCAAUCUCCAUAUGGACGGGUCCCAGAAAAUUAAUGAGGGAGAGGGAGAUUUUUUCCGAAAGCAGUGAGCUCAGCUCUGCUAGAGCGUUUGUGUGUGGCGAGAGAGAGAGAGAGAGAGUGAGAUGAGGAUUGUGCGGCAUUGAGAAAUGUAGUGAACAGUUCAAGGUGACAGAUG